rnacentral:rRNA from 1 species
GACGAAGGGGGCAAGCGUUGUUCGGAAUUACUUGGGCGUAAAGCGCGUGUAGGUGGUCAUUCUAGUCAGGCGUGAAAGCCUACGAAGCUCAACUCGAGAAAUGCGCUUGAUACUGGAUGACUAGAGGACCGGAGAGGAUAGUGGGAAUUCCCAGUGUAGUGGUGAAAUACGUAGAGAUUGGGAAGAACGACCAGUGGCGGAAGGCGGCUACUGGACGGUUUCUGACACUAAGACGCGGAAAGGCGUGGGGAGCAAACAGG